rnacentral:lncRNA from 1 species
AUGGGGCCAAGAAUGCGCCGUGGCGGGGGUGAGAGCGGCCAGGGAGCGAGCGUGGGGGCACCUCGGGCCGGCCACAAGCGGCCCAUUGUGGCGGCCGGAGGCGGGCACCGCUCGGGCUGCCCAGGAGGACGGCAGCCACUCGGCGGAGAGGGCAGCGGCUCCUGGGGCGCCCCGGCAGCCCCCAGCCCGGCGGCAGGCAAGGCCUGGCCCCUGCAGCCAUGUUGGCCCUGCUCAGCCCAGCCUGAUCCCUGCCCUCGCGCCUCUGCUUGCAGCCCGCCAUGGAGGAGGACGUCUCCCCGGGCCCUCGCCCGGCCGGCCCCAGCCGCAUCCCGGGCCCCCCGCCGCGGCGGUACGGCCCCUCUGGGACCCCCACCCAGCGGAGCUGCCUCUGGGUCACCCUGCGGCACGGGGGGGCCCCCUGGCAGCGGCUGCGGGGCCCGGCCCCCGUCACCCCCGUCCCCCCGCGGCCCCGGCACGCUCCGGGGCCUGGCGGGACUGAGGCCGCCCCAGCGGAGAAGAUGCCGGGCACCGGGGACCCACGCACCGGUGGGUCUGCGCUGCGGGUCGGGCCGGGGGCACCCGGGGGCUCGGUGUGGGGCAGGAUGGGGGGCACGGGGGCGUCCCCUCUUCCCCAGUGGUGCUGAGGAACAGAGGAGGUGCUGGGGGAGAGUGGCAUCCGGAGGGGAAAUGUGGCUGGCUGACCAGCAAGGUCCCAGAGCUGGCAACGUACCAGGAGCAGCGAAACUGUGGUGCCCCAGCAUGGCGUGGCCGUGGCACCUGGUGGGGACCGUCGGAGAAGGGAAGGGACAUGUCCCUCUGAAGCAGCCGGACCAGGCAGGAGGGCAGCCAGGUGACCCUCACGGCUCCCCAGACACAACUGGCAGCACCCCGCCCCGCUGCCCGCACACGCGUGUGCACACGCACGCACGCACACCGGUACACACGCAGGGGAUGGCCGUGCCUCUGCACCCAGGGCCGGCAGCCAGCAAUCGCGCUGCCAAGGGAGGAGAGGUUUCUCACGCCUCCGCAAGCGGAGCUGAAGGGCAAAUCGGUCUCAACAAACCGUUCCCAAAUCCCCUCUCUCCAGGAGACCUUGCCAUCCCCCGACCCCAGCAAACACCCGUGGGGCUGAGUGGCUUCUCAGCCACGAGGGGUUAA